rnacentral:rRNA from 1 species
GACGAACGCUGGCGGCGUGCCUAAUACAUGCAAGUAGAACGCUGAAGAGAGGAGCUUACUCUUCUUGGAUGAGUUGCGAACGGGUGAGUAACGCGUAGGUAACCUGCCUUGUAGCGGGGGAUAACUAUUGGAAACGAUAGCUAAUACCGCAUAACAAUGGAUGACACAUGUCAUUUAUUUGAAAGGGGCAAUUGCUCCACUACAAGAUGGACCUGCGUUGUAUUAGCUAGUAGGUGAGGUAAUGGCUCACCUAGGCGACGAUACAUAGCCGACCUGAGAGGGUGGUCGGCCACACUGGGACUGAGACACGGCCCAGACUCCUACGGGAGGCAGCAGUAGGGAAUCUUCGGCAAUGGGGGCAACCCUGACCGAGCAACGCCGCGUGAGUGAAGAAGGUUUUCGGAUCGGAAAGCUCUGUUGUAAGUCAAGAACGGGUGUGAGAGUGGAAAGUUCACACUGUGACGGUAGCUUAACAGAAAGGGACGGCUAACUACGUG